rnacentral:SRP_RNA from 1 species
GCCAGGCGCAGUGGCAUGUGCCUGUAGUCCCAGCUACUUGGGAGGCUGAGGCUGGAGGAUUGCUUGAGUCCAGGAGUUCUAGGCUGUAGUGCACUCUGCUGAUUGGGUGUCUGCACUAAGUUUGGCAUCAAUAAGGUGACCUCCUGGGAGCAGGGGACCACCAGGUUGCCUAAGGAGGGGUGAACCCGCCCAGGUCGGAAGCAAAACAGGUCAAAACUCCCGUGCUGAUCAGUAGUGGGAUCGCGCCUGUGAAUAGCCACUGCACUCCCGCCUGGGCAACAUAGCAAGACCCCAUCUCU